rnacentral:rRNA from 1 species
GAUGAACGCUGGCGGCGUGCCUAAUACAUGCAAGUCGAGCGAACGGACGAGAAGCUUGCUUCUCUGAUGUUAGCGGCGGACGGGUGAUUAACACGUGGAUAACCUACCUAUAAGACUGGGAUAACUUCGGGAAACCGGAGCUAAUACCGGAUAAUAUUUUGAACCGCAUUGUUCAAAAGUGAAAGACGGUCUUGCUGUCACUUAUAGAUGGAUCCGCGCUGCAUUAGCUAGUUGGUAAGGUAACGGCUUACCAAGGCAACGAUGCAUAGCCGACCUGAGAGGGUGAUCGGCCACACUGGAACUGAGACACGGUCCAGACUCCUACGGGAGGCAGCAGUAGGGAAUCUUACGCAAUGGGCGAAAGCCUGACGGAGCAACGCCGCGUGAGUGAUGAAGGUCUUCGGAUCGUAAAACUCUGUUAUUAGGGAAGAACAUAUGUGUAAGUAACUGUGCACAUCUUGACGGUACCUAAUCAGAAAGCCCCGGCUAACUACGUG